AUUAUUUUAGGCUAUAUAUUGGGAGUAAGUAUAAUUUAUGAAAUCAUAAGAUUUUGGCGGUAUUUUAAGCUUUUUAGAGGAAUUUGCUCUGUAAUGGAUAAAACGCCUAGAUCUUACUUAAUUUUGUAAAAUCAGUUUGUAUACCACUAUAUUUAAUUAUAUUGAAUAAUUAUAUUUAACAUUUUAUUUAAAAAAUAUAUUAAGUCAAGGUGCAGCAUAAAAUUAUGAAUGAAGUGAAUUACAUUGAUUUUAAUUAAUUAUUUUAUGAAAAAAAUUUUUUUUAGGAUUUAAAAGUAAAUUACUAAUAUAAUGAGUAUUUGAAUAAAGCUCUAGAAUAUGUAC
rnacentral:rRNA from 1 species